AUGAGGUUCCCUGCUCAGCUCCUGGGACUGUUAAUGCUCUUGGUCCCUGGAUCCAGUGGGGAUAUUGUGAUGACCCAGACUCCACUCUCCCUGCCAGUCACUGCUGGAGAGCCGGCCUCCAUCUCCUGUAGGUCUAGUCAGAGCCUCCUGCAUAGUAAUGGAAAUACCUAUUUGUAUUGGUACCUGCAGAAGCCAGGGCAGCCUCCAUGGCUCCUAAUCUACAGAGUUUCCAACCGGUUCUCUGGGGUGCCAGACAGGUUCAGUGGCAGUGGAUCAGGCACUGAUUUCACACUGAAAAUCAGCCGGGUGGAGGCUGAGGAUGUUGGGGUUUAUUACUGCAUGCAAGCUUUACAAACUCCUCCCACAUUUGGUACUGGUACCAAAACAGAGGGAGAGAAAAGAAACUGCAAGCAGCAAGAGCAGGGGCUAAGCAAUGCUCUAGUCGUCUUUAGCUCUCAUGUGAUUGACAGCAUCUAUGUGAUUGACAUGGACUUUGAGUUUCUGAGUUUAAUGGAGCCCCCAAGUUUGGAAUGGGAUCUCAUGUGUGACUUGGAGCACUUGGGAGGAGCUGUCCGUGUGCUGAGCCCCCAAACCCAAAGUAAUGAGGCUCCACUGAGACCAAAUAUUUUAACAUCGUCCUCCCUCAAGUGUUUUGAAGUUUUCACAGUGGCUACGGCCAUCCCAUCGGAGCGUCAUGCAGUCAUGCAGGGUCGGAAGAAGGAAGCCUUUCCAGUGAAUGCUUCUCUGUAG